rnacentral:rRNA from 1 species
AGCCUGAACGCUGGCGGCGUGGCUAAGACAUGCAAGUCGAACGGAUGUAGCAAUACAUCAGUGGCGAACGGGUGAGUAAUGUAUCGCUAACGUGCCCUGGACUCUGGGAUAGCUACUCGAAAGGGUAGGUAAUACCAGAUAAUAUGACCUGGUUGCAUGACCGGGUUCUCAAAGGUCCGCUGGUUCGGGAGCGGGC